rnacentral:rRNA from 1 species
GACGAACGCUGGCGGCGUGCUUAACACAUGCAAGUCGAACGCUGAAGCUCAGCUUGCUGGGUGGAUGAGUGGCGAACGGGUGAGUAACACGUGAGUAACCUGCCCUCUUCUUUGGGAUAACGCCCGGAAACGGGUGCUAAUACUGGAUAUUCACUGAUUCUCGCAUGGGGGUUGGUGGAAAGGUUUUUUCUGGUGGGGGAUGGGCUCGCGGCCUAUCAGCUUGUUGGUGGGGUGAUGGCCUACCAAGGCUUUGACGGGUAGCCGGCCUGAGAGGGUGACCGGUCACAUUGGGACUGAGAUACGGCCCAGACUCCUACGGGAGGCAGCAGUGGGGAAUAUUGCACAAUGGGCGAAAGCCUGAUGCAGCGACGCCGCGUGAGGGAUGGAGGCCUUCGGGUUGUAAACCUCUCUCGCUCAUGGUCAAGCCGCAGCUUUGGGUUGUGGUGAGGGUAGUGGGUAAAGAAGCGCCGGCUAACUACGUG